rnacentral:piRNA from 1 species
UGAGAAACACCCAAGAGUUACUUAAGUGC